rnacentral:rRNA from 1 species
AUUGAACGCUGGCGGCAGGCUUAACACAUGCAAGUCGAGCGGAGAUGAGGUGCUUGCACCUUAUCUUAGCGGCGGACGGGUGAGUAAUGCUUAGGAAUCUGCCUAUUAGUGGGGGACAACAUUCCGAAAGGAAUGCUAAUACCGCAUACGCCCUACGGGGGAAAGCAGGGGAUCUUCGGACCUUGCGCGAAUAGAUGAGCCUAAGUCGGAUUAGCUAGUUGGUGGGGUAAAGGCCUACCAAGGCGACGAUCUGUAGCGGGUCUGAGAGGAUGAUCCGCCACACUGGGACUGAGAGACGGCCCAGACUCCUACGGGAGGCAGCAGUGGGGAAUAUUGGACAAGGGGCGGAAGCCUGAUCCAGCCAUGCCGCGUGUGUGAAGAAGGCCUUUUGGUUGUAAAGCACUUUAAGCGAGGAGGAGGCUACCUGGAUUAAUACUCUAGGAUAGUGGACGUUACUCGCAGAAUAAGCACCGGCUAACUCUGUGCCAGCCGCCGCAGUAAAAC